AGAGUUUGAUCCUGGCUCAGGAUAAACGCUGGCGGCGUGCCUAACACAUGCAAGUCGGACGUCCUUUCUUCUUUUGGGAAGAGAGGGAGUGGCGGACGGGUGAGUAACACAUGGGUACCUGCCUUCAAGUGAGGAAUACCCUCGGGAAACCGGGGACAAGACCGCAUAGGCUCUGUGCUGCAAGAGGCAGAGAGCAAAGC
rnacentral:rRNA from 1 species